rnacentral:rRNA from 1 species
GUGUCAGCAGCCGCGGUAAUACGUAGGGUGCGAGCGUUAAUCGGAAUUACUGGGCGUAAAGCGUGCGUAGGUGGUUUGUUAAGUCUGUUGUGAAGGCCCCGGGCUCAACCUGGGAAUGGCAAUGGAUACUGGUACGCUAGAGUGCAGUAGAGGGUAGUGGAAUUUCCGGUGUAGCGGUGAAAUGCGUAGAUAUGUGGAGGAACACCGAUGGCGAAGGCAGCCCCCUGGGCCGAUACUGACGCUCAGGCACGAAAGCGUGGGGAGCGAACAGGAUUAGAUACCCGCGUAGUCC